UACGAAGGGUGCAAACGUUGCUCGGAAUUAUUGGGCGUAAAGCGCACGUAGGCGGCAUUGCAAGUCGGAUGUGAAAUCCCUCGGCUUAACCAAGGAAGUGCAUCCGAAACUGCAGUGCUUGAGUAUAGUUGCUGUGGGCGGAAUAUGACAUGUAGUGGUGAAAUACUUAGAGAUGUCAUAGAACACCGAUUGCGAAGGCAGCUCACAAAACUAUAACUGACACUGAGGCUCGAAAGUGCGGGGAUCAAACAGG
rnacentral:rRNA from 1 species